GACGAACGCUGGCGGCGUGCUUAACACAUGCAAGUCGAACGAUGAAGCUAGAGCUUGCUCCGGUGAAUUAGUGGCGAACGGGUGAGUAACACGUGAGUAACCUGCCCCGAACUCUGGGAUAACUGCUGGAAACGGUAGCUAAUACUGGAUACGACCUACGAAGGCAUCUUCUGUAGGUGGAAAGAAUUUCGGUUCGGGAUGGACUCGCGGCCUAUCAGCUUGUUGGUGAGGUAAUGGCUAACCAAGGCGACGACGGGUAGCCGGCCUGAGAGGGUGACCGGCCACACUGGGACUGAGACACGGCCCAGACUCCUACGGGAGGCAGCAGUGGGGAAUAUUGCACAAUGGGCGCAAGCCUGAUGCAGCAACGCCGCGUGAGGGAUGACGGCCUUCGGGUUGUAAACCUCUUUUAGUAGGGAAGAAGCGAAAGUGACGGUACCUGCAGAAAAAGCACCGGCUAACUACGUGCCAGCCGCCGCGGUAA
rnacentral:rRNA from 1 species